UACGGGGGGGGCAAGCGUUGUUCGGAAUUACUGGGCGUAAAGGGCUCGUAGGCGGCCAACUAAGUCGGACGUGAAAUCCCCAGGCUCAACCUGGGAACUGCGUCCGAUACUGGAUGGCUUGAAUCCGGGAGAGGGAUGCGGAAUUCCAGGUGUAGCGGUGAAAUGCGUAGGUAUCUGGAGGAAUACCGGUGGCGAAGGCGGCAUCCUGGACCGGCAUUGACGCUGAGGAGCGAAAGCCAGGGGAGCAAACGGG
rnacentral:rRNA from 1 species